AGAACAACAGGAGGACAGUAGAGAGAGAGAGAACAACAGGAGGACAGUAGAGAGAGAGAGAACAACAGGAGGACAAUAGAGAGAGAGAGAGAACAACAGGAGGACAAGAGAGAGAGAGAGAACAACAGGAGGACAGUAGAGAGAGAGAGAGAACAACAGGAGGACAAGAGAGAGAGAGAGAACAACAGGAGGACAGUAGAGAGAGAGAGAGAACAACAGGAAGACAGUAGAGAGAGAGAGAGAACAACAGGAGGACGGUAGAGAGAGAGAGAGAACAACAGGAGGACAAGAGAGAGAGAGAACAACAGGAGGACAGUAGAGAGAGAGAACAACAGGAGGAUAGUAGAGAGAGAGAGAGAACAACAGGAGGACAGUAGAGAGAGAGAGAGAACAACAGGAGGACAGUAGAGAGGGGGACCAACAGGAGGACAGUAGAGAGAGAGAACAACAGGAGGAUAGUAGAGAGAGAGAGAGAACAACAGGAGGACAGUAGAGAGAGAGAGAACAACAGGAGGACAAUAGAGAGAGAGAGAGAACAACAGGAGGACAGUAGAGAGAGAGAGAACAAUAGGAGGACAGUAGAGAGAGAGAGAACAACAGGAGGACAGUAGAGAGAGAGAGAACAACAGGAGGACAGUAGAGAGAGAGAACAACAGGAGGACAGUAGAGAGAGAGA
ensembl:lncRNA